CCUACGGGGGGCAGCAGUGGGGAAUAUUGGACAAUGGGGGCAACCCUGACCCAGCGACGCCGCGUGAAUGAAGAAGUAUUUCGGAAUGUAAAGCUCUAUCAGUAGGGAAGAAAAAAAUGACGGUACCUAACUAAUAAGCCCCGGCUAACUACGUGCCAGCAGCCGCGGUAAUACGUAGGGGGCAAGCGUUGUCCGGAUUGACUGGGGGUAAAGGGGGCGUAGGCGGCGAUGCAAGUUGGAAGUGAAAGGCGGGGGCCCAACCUCCGGACUGCUUUGGAAACCGUAAGACUGGAGGGCAGGAGAGGGAAGUGGAAUUCCUAGUGUAGCGGUGAAAUGCGUAGAUAUUAGGAGGAACACCAGUGGCGAAGGCGGCUUACUGGACUGUAACUGACGCUGAGGCACGAAAGCGUGGGGAGCAAACAGGAUUAGAUACCCCGGUAGUC
rnacentral:rRNA from 1 species